rnacentral:lncRNA from 1 species
CCUGGAGUGCUGGCGGGAGUGGAUUCCUGGUAGAGGGGACAGCAGAACCUUCCAUGUCCCCCCACCGCUGUGUGGACCAUGAUUGAACACUUCCCACGCCAGGUCCCAUUUGACCCUGAAACAGUCACACAAGGUGAAGAAACUGAGGAUCCACCCUUCCUAGCACAAGGGCUCUCAAGUCCCCAGCCCAUCUCCUCUGCUGGGCGGCCCCCGCUGGUCCUUCAGGGCUCCGCAAGCAGCUCAGAGGUCACUCCCUCCUCACCAGGCAGCCGAUCUGCUUGCCCGGCCUCCCAGAAUCCGAGGUGCCUCCCUCUCGUCUCGUCACCUGGCUGUGGUCCUGGCGUACGCCUCCUGCACCUGUCUGUGUCAGCACCCGCCGGGAUGGGGCCCAGUGUGGAGGGGGAGCAAUGGAUGAGGUACCACCUGGGACUCCUUCCC